CAGCGUUUCCUGUUCAAUUGUGGAGUACCUUGACUGACACGAGUUGAACUUACGGGAGAAGAAACUGACGGGUCGAUCCACUCCAUCUUCAUCUUCCUGCAAGAGAACCGCACCCACCCCCACUAUACUAGCGUCUACCUCCAACUUAAAAGGUUUGUCAAAGUUGGGGGCGGCAAGCACUGGGCACUACAAAGUAGCGCUUUAGCGGACUCAAAAGCAUAGUUACAGUCCUGGGACCACUUAAAUGGUACCUUCGGACUAAGCAGAGAUGAAAGGGGAGCUACUACCGUCGAGAAAUUCUUACAGAAAGUACGAUAGUAACCUACCAUCCCCAGGAAUCUGCGCAACUGGCGGCGAGUCGUGGGAGCAGGAAAAGCAACAAUUGCUUCCACUUUGCCAGUUACUGGGCGCACUUGACCUCGUCCCACUUGUUUCCCUAAGAACAGCGUCCCCCACAUCCACGUCAUGUUCCAAGAUGGACGUGCGACUUGGAACAUCCUGAAACACAAUACCAGCCAGGCUUCAGCACCACCGCAGCCACACUGGAAACGGCGGGCUGGACCGGCUUUCUUGAGGAGCUGUUGGGAGAAUCACGCAUAUAAUAUGCUUUCAGCAUGUUAACAUGACACAUUCGGGAAGAACGCCUCCGAUCUGGGGUCUUUAUCACAUAAUUGGUGUCACUGAGUUUCUUUUCCACAAGAUAUGGUCCAGAAAAACGUGCUGACAGAGAUGAGCCAGGGAUUGGCAACAAAACUAAAACUUGAU
rnacentral:lncRNA from 1 species